ensembl:lncRNA
GCGGCAACGGAGAAUGAGAAGGGCGAAAGCGGAUCGUUAAAUGAAACGGAUGAACCAGAACUGCAAAGAGAAGGCCAAGCACAGCCUUGACUCGCUCCCCUCUCCAGAGUUAGACGCUGAGUUAGGUGACCAUUAAUCUUAAGCCUUGCAGUUGGAUUAUCAUUUAAUGCCUUUACAUUGUUUAUCACCAACUCAUUAAACCAGAUUUCUGCAGUACUCUGUAUCAGCACUGCCAACUAACCAAAAGCCUCUUCAAGACUCAGCAUCACAGCCGCUCUGUGUGUCGUCGUCUUGUAUUAUCCUGGGUUUGAUGUUUAUGAAGCCAGCUUGAUCAUUAUGUAUGAGGUUAGGGAGUAUUUGGUUUUGCCAUUAUGGAUGUAUAGCUGCAGUAACCUACACUGAGCACAGACUGGUCUGUACGACUCUUUUGUCCUUGGUCUGCUUCAGUAUAACAGAUAUAAUUGCUUCUUUCAGAGUAGGUGGGCUUUGUGCCUUUUCAGUUACAUGUUUUUCUCAGUAUAGGGAUAAGAUCCUCUUUGAAUGUUUUAUAUGCUCUAUAUAUUUAUUAGCUUUCAGGUUUCUUAUGGCCUUUUCUGAUCCUUUUACUGUGAUUUCAGAGGCUAGUUGUUUAUUCUGAUCUUCACUCAUGACAGGUAAACUAAGCGUUUCAACAAAUAUGUCCAUUUGAUCAAUUCCCACAUCCGUAGUUUUAGAGAGGAGUUGUUUAUAAAAGGUUUUAAAGACAGACCGGAUCUUAUCGGGUUCAGGGGGUUGGGAAGCUUAUCUGUAACCGGAAGGUUACCAGUUCAAUCCCCUGGCUCUCUCUGUCCUGGCCGUUGUGUCCUUGGGCAAGACACUUCACCUACCACCUACCGGUGUUGGCCAGAGGAGCCGAUGGUGCGAAAUGGCAGCCUCGCUUCUGUCAGUCUGUCCCAGGGCAGCUGUGGCUACAACUGCCUGCACCAGUGUGUGAAUGUGAGAGUGAAUGAAUAGUGGAAUU